UUUCCCCAUAUAUUUCCAUAGCAAUAUUAAACAGAAGAAAGCGGUUCUUUUGGGUUCGCCCGAUAUUUGCUUGCUGGUUUUUCUGUAGAAGGAGACGAAAUAGGGUGAGGACAAUAACCAAGUAUCCGCCUACAUUCCCAGUACCAUGUACAUCAAACGAUAUCCAAAGUAAUUACAACAUUGGUUCCGCAGAGGACAGCGUUGUUGUCAGCUGGACCGUGCCAAGAGCCUCGGAUAGAAACGGAGGCACACCAAGUGUUACACAAGUUGGUGGUGGUAGAAAUGGAGGUCGGUUUGAUGGAGCUACUUAUGGAAAGACGCACUAUAUUACUUAUAAAGCUACCGAUUCGGACGGCCUUACUGGACAUUGUUAUUUUUCCUUUACUGUCACUGG